GGUUACCUAAAUAUCAAAAGGUUGUAGAAUAAGUUUUUUACUACCUACCCUUUUUCCUCAUUCUCGUAGGACUACCCGCUGAACUUAAGCAUAUCAAUAAGCGGAGGAAAAGAAACCAACAGGGAUUGCCUCAGUAACGGCGAGUGAAGCGGCAAAAGCUCAAAUUUGAAAUCCUUCGGGAAUUGUAUUUUGAAGGACCUAGAAACAUCUGGAAACUACCUUAAGUCUAUUGGAAAAUGGCGCCAUAGAGGGUGAUAGCCCCGUAAAGGAUAGUCAAAAGUAUACUUUCUAGGCCCAAAGAGUCGAGUUGUUUGGGAAUGCAGCUCUAAGUGGGUGGUAAAUUCCAUCUAAAGCUAAAUAUUGGCGAGAGACCGAUAGCGAACAAGUACAGUGAUGGAAAGAUGAAAAGCACUUUGAAAAGAGAGUGAAAAAGUACGUGAAAUUGUUGAAAGGGAAGGGCUUGCAAGCAGACACAACUUUUGUUGGGCCAGCAUCGGGGGAGUGGGAGGCAAAAAUGAAAAGAAAUGUAGCUUCGGUUUUAUAGUCUUCUCUUAUACCUCCUCACCCUCCCGAGG
rnacentral:rRNA from 1 species